rnacentral:rRNA from 1 species
UACGUAGGGGGCAAGCGUUGUCCGGAAUCAUUGGGCGUAAAGAGCGUGUAGGCGGUUCGGGAAGUCUGCUGUGAAAGUCCAGGGCUCAACCCUGGAAAGCCGGUGGAUACUGUCGGACUAGAGUGCGGAAGAGGCGAGUGGAAUUCCCGGUGUAGCGGUGAAAUGCGCAGAUAUCGGGAGGAACACCAAUUGCGAAGGCAGCUCGCUGGGACGUGACUGACGCUGAGACGCGAAAGCGUGGGGAGCAAACAGG